GUGUCUCCUGUGUUGGGGAGACAUCUGGGACUAUAGAUGGAACAUCAGUGACCCUACAGCAGACCACUGAUGCCACCAGAAGAAACAUCUUAACGCAACCCAAGCUCCAACCACUGAACAAUCCUCUUUCUCUCCAACUGCUGAGCCUGUUCAGACUGACAACACAGUCCAAGGACCUGAGGGGGGCAAGGAGAAGGACACCAUGAGUUCCAUAGAUCUAAAAGUCCUACUGAUUCCUCUGGGCAUGUUGGUGGUGGUGAUAUCUGGUGUCUUAG